rnacentral:tRNA from 1 species
GGAGAGUUGGCUCAGCGGUUAAGAGCAUUGGCUACUCUCUCAGAGGACCUGGGUUCAAUUCCUAAGACCCACCU